GGGUUCUACCGUUGGUCGGGCUAACCAGUCUGUACUAGCGUGUAAAAUUCCUACCUUCUGGGGAACUAUCAUGUUAUUAAUUUAGCGUGGUGGGAAACCAGGACCUUUACCUUGAAAAAAUUAGAGUGUUCAAAGCAGGCUUACGUCUGAAUACAUUAGCAUGGAAUAAUAAAAUAGGACGGCAUGGUUCUAUUUUGUUGGUUUCUAGGAUCACCGUA
rnacentral:rRNA from 1 species